UGUGUCAAAGUUUUAAACUUUCAAAGUACUUAUGAUGAAUAAUCGGCUGUCGUCUCAGAAGACAGCUUUACUGUCAGCCCUAGCGAGAAAAAUGUUUCAUUUCUUGCCACGUUGACUGUUAGGGGAAAAUAUCCCACCAUUAAGCUUUCCUCUGUCUGAAAGAGCCAUUUA